rnacentral:misc_RNA from 1 species
GAUGAAGAACGUAGCGAAAUGCGAUAAGUAAUGUGAAUUGCAGAAUUCAGUGAAUCAUCGAAUCUUUGAACGCACCUUGCGCUCCUUGGCAUUCCGAGGAGCAUGCCUGUUUGAGUGUCAUUAAAUUCUCAAGACCUGUCUGCUUUUUUGAUAGGUAUUGGAUUUUGGGGGUUGCAGGCUGUUUCAAAUAAAUAGCCUUGCUCUCCUUGAAUGUAUUAGUGGAGAAAAGCCAUUGAACUCCAUUGGUGUGAUAAAACCUAUCAAUGCCAGGAGCAAUAUCACUACUUCUCCUGUCUAACUGUGACUGUCUGUAUUAAUUAGUAUGGAUGGGGACAACUUGACCAACUUGACCUCAAAUCAGGUAGGACUACCCGCUGAACUUAAGCAUAUCAAUAAGCGGAGGA